UACAGAGGUCUCAAGCGUUGUUCGGAUUCAUUGGGCGUAAAGGGUGCGUAGGUGGCGCCGUAAGUCAGGUGUGAAAUUUCGGAGCUUAACUCCGAAACUGCAUUUGAUACUGCGGUGCUUGAGGACUGGAGAGGAGUCUGGAAUUCACAGUGGAGCAGUGAAAUGCGUAGAUAUUGUGAGGAACACUAGUGGCGAAGCGAGACUCUGGAGCAGUUCCUGACGCUGAGGCACGAAGGCCAGGGGAGCAAACGGG
rnacentral:rRNA from 1 species